rnacentral:misc_RNA from 1 species
CAUUGCUGCGGUGAAUACGUUCUCGGGCCUUGUACACACCGCCCGUCACGUCACGAAAGUUGGUAACACCCGAAGCCCGUGGCCUAGCCUUUUUGGGGGGAGCGGUCGAAGGUGGGAUUGGCGAUUGGGACGAAGUCGUAACAAGGUAGCCGUACCGGAAGGUGCGGCUGGAUCACCUCCUUUCUAGGGAGCAUCGUUGACUGGACUGUUUUGUUUUGUUUUGGUGUUGUCUGGUUUAUGGAUAUGCGUGUGGAUGGAUUACAUGUUCUGCCUGUUUUGGGUGGGGGCGCUAUCGGGGUUUGGGCUUACAUGCCUGGCCGGCUGGCUGCAGUGGGGUUUUGUCUUGUUGUGGUUGGUUUGGUUGGUUGGUUGGUUUUUGUAUAGUGGUGCGAGUAUCCUGUGAUGCAAGUUUUUUUGUUCUUGUUUUAGUGUUUGUUCUUCUGGUGUAACUGUUUGUUGGUUGUNUUUGGGCU